GCCCAUCAGUUUAAACCAUCCAUCCAUCCAUAAGAUUCUUAUACAUUAAAUAUAUAUAAUCACCUCAUAGUUCUUACCCUGUGUCCUCAUUUUACUCACCAGACACCCACAAACACAUAAAAAAGGUCACCUCCUACAAAGAAAACCCUAAACUCUUGCUCAUCCUCUCCCACUCAAGACAUACUGCACACCCACAAGAGAAACCCUCUUUCUUCACAAUACAUACACACACAUGAUCAGAGAUACACACAACCUUCCACCCUCUUGUUUCUUCUCGAAAUCCACUGCAAAACCCACAAAAUCAGUUCAUCCGCAACCCUUGUUCCCCUCUCUCUCGAUUCACGUUCCGGCGGAGCCGGCGUCGCUCACGGCGGAAGCCGGUAACCAGUGAAGCCGGCGAGCGCCGGCUGUUUCUCCGACAUCACACACACCAGCAAUACCCCCCCUCUUCAGCUUCAUCAAAAUGGACCACCACCACCAGUGUCGGGUGGUGGUGAGUGACGGAUAGACCAGAAUAGAGAGGCAGAGAGAGAGAGAGGGAGAAAGAUCGGAGAUGGAACACCGCCAACGCUCACGGCGGCGUCAGUAGAGGCGACGACGGUGGUUUGAUACUUCUUCGACGAGUUUCACGUGAUGAUGGUGGUGGUGGCCGACACCACUGCUGACCGGCGACGGAGUCGCCGGUGGCACCGGUAACAUCACAGCUCGAAGAUUUGGAGUUUGGUUCAAGAUUGAGUUUCGGUUCGAUCAAACGGCAGAUUUGGUGUGGGUUUUGUGAGGCUCGUGUUUCGGUUCGGUUCAACAUCAAGCUCGGGUUUCAGUUCGGGAGCCGGGUUUUUUUUUUGUUUUGGGUGAACAAGGUUUCAGGGUUGGGUUUCGGGCUUGAUAUCAGUUUUGGGGUUGGCUGGUUUUGGUCAAACAUCGGCUUCUGUUCAAGCUUCAGUCAACGCAAGUCAAGGUCGGGUCAACCUUGGUCAACGGCAGCUUCGGUUCGGGUCCGGCACGCUCAGAUUUAGUUUUAGCGCGGUUCGGUUCGACUCGGUCAAACCUAGUCAAUUCGGUCCAACUUAGUCAACUCAGUGAGUCAACUCAGCCGGUCAACUCAGUUGACUCGGUCAACUUCCCGACGAGAAGAUGGGAUAUUAUAGAACGCACGCUAGCGAGUCACGUCUUGGAAACGGCAUCACAAAGUCAUAUUAAGCUAGCUUUGCACAUGGAAAUCCAGGUUGCACUUUUCAAAGUUAUGGCACAGUUGGAAUAGGAGAAUCAUUGGAGAUUCGAGUACUUAGUGGCGUUCGAUUUCUAAAAGUCUUAGCUUAUUUGCUUCCGCCGUGCAAUGAAGAUAUCAGUCCAGUCACGCCAGCUCUGAUAUUUCGGGGUGUGACAAAAAGCAGCUAAUGGUAUAUGCGUGUGCCGUUUGUUUACAAGGUGUGGGCUGCCAUGCGCGUGCCGAUUGGUACCGUAUAUACAAAAUUGUAAUACAUUCUUCGACGAACCAUGUCUUAUAAUAAGCGCAUUUCAUCACGCAAUGAUUUUAACGUUUCUCUUGUUUGUUGUUUUAUUUUAAUGUAAAUCAACGGAUUCCGUUGUAGUUGAUAGA